AGUGAACGCUGGCGGUAGGCCUAACACAUGCAAGUCGAACGGCAGCACAGUAAGAGCUUGCUCUUACGGGUGGCGAGUGGCGGACGGGUGAGGAAUACAUCGGAAUCUACUUUUUCGUGGGGGAUAACGUAGGGAAACUUACGCUAAUACCGCAUACGACCUACGGGUGAAAGCAGGGGAUCUUCGGACCUUGCGCGAUUGAAUGAGCCGAUGUCGGAUUAGCUAGUUGGCGGGGUAAAGGCCCACCAAGGCGACGAUCCGUAGCUGGUCUGAGAGGAUGAUCAGCCACAUUGGAACUUAGACACGGUCCAGACUCCUACGGUAGGCAGCAGUGGGGAAUAUUGGACAAUGGGCGCAAGCCUGAUCCAGCCAUACCGCGUGGGUGGAGAAGGCCUUCGGGUUGUAAAGCCCUUUUGUUGGGAAAGAAAAGCAGCAGGUUAAUACCCCGCUGUUCUGACGGUACCCAAAGAAUAAGCACCGGCUAACUUCGUG
rnacentral:rRNA from 1 species